UGAUUUAUCUUUGUCUCAUUAUUUUACAUCCCAAAAACCUGGAAUUUUAACAGGGGUGUGUAGACAUUUUAAAUCCACUGUAUGUUCAGAUCAUCUCUGAGAGAGAAGGGGUGUAAUAUCUCCAGAUGGGUGUGUGGUACCCUUCCUCACCCAUGCCAACAAGAUGUUACUUCUUGUGGGGUCUUUUCCUUGAAAGUAAGUUUGAGAGUUUAAGUAAUGUACAAUUAACCUUCUGAAAGUAUACUGACUAAAAGACAAAACGGAACUGUCAAAUUAUAUUAUAGCUGUGUCGUUGUAUACUUGCGGAUUAGAUUCUUAAGUGGAACAUUUUGUUGGGGAAAACUGAAAUGCCCAUUAAAGUUUUUGCCCAGUUUGCUGAAUGUGUUCUGAAGGAGGAGUCGAUUGUCUUUUCAAAUACGGACAAAGAUGUUAACCUCAUGAGAGAAGAAAUAGCAGUCACUCUCCUCCAAAACACCGGUAUGUUCAAUUUCUAAUUUAAUAUAAUUGUGUAUAUAAAAAAAACUUGAAAAGUCCAUAUAAAUGUUAUCUUUGAUCCAAUUUCUGACUAGAUGGCCACUAAAACAUAUGUAUUUAAAUGAUUCUGUUACAAGAAACGUAUAAUAUUCCCUUGUUCCCUGUUCACUGUUUGCUCAGAAAAAUGCAUGUAAAGAUGUAUAGACUAUUUGACAUUAUGUUUUGCUAGAUUACCUGAGUCAACUGUGCCACUUCUGUGGGGAGGUGGACAAUACUGAGGAAGACACUAACUGGAUUGGUUGUGACUGCUGCCCACGAUGGUUCCACCAGUCCUGUAUGAAAACCAUCCCACCAUUGGAGGAUUAUGUCUGCGCUGCCUGUCAGGACUAGGUUAGGCUUGAGUUCCAGUCGACGACAUCACCUGGAAAACUUUUCAUAAAAAGUGGACUAAAUGUUCAGUCGAGCUGUUGCAGGUUUCCAAUAUUUGUUUAUAUUAUUUGUCUUUUUAUAUUUGAUUUAUUGUAAUUGUAUAUCUUAUUAUGCAAAGAUCUAAAUUUGUAUUUCUUAAUGUUUGUUAACAAACUUAACUUUCUGUGAUGUUUUUGUGUUAUUGUGUGAUAAUAUUUGUGUAUUAUCUUUAUUUUCUUAAACCUUACGAAAUGUUUCUAAAAUAAAUGUUUGUUUCUCAAUA